rnacentral:rRNA from 1 species
GGUUAAGCGACUAAGCGUACACGGUGGAUGCCCUGGCAGUCAGAGGCGAUGAAGGACGUGCUAAUCUGCGAUAAGCGUCGGUAAGGUGAUAUGAACCGUUAUAACCGGCGAUUUCCGAAUGGGGAAACCCAGUGUGUUUCGACACACUAUCAUUAACUGAAUCCAUAGGUUAAUGAGGCGAACCGGGGGAACUGAAACAUCUAAGUACCCCGAGGAAAAGAAAUCAACCGAGAUUCCCCCAGUAGCGGCGAGCGAACGGGGAGCAGCCCAGAGCCUGAAUCAGUGUGUGUGUUAGUGGAAGCGUCUGGAAAGGCGCGCGAUACAGGGUGACAGCCCCGUACACAAAAAUGCACAUGCUGUGAGCUCGAUGAGUAGGGCGGGACACGUGGUAUCCUGUCUGAAUAUGGGGGGACCAUCCUCCAAGGCUAAAUACUCCUGACUGACCGAUAGUGAACCAGUACCGUGAGGGAAAGGCGAAAAGAACCCCGGCGAGGGGAGUGAAAAAGAACCUGAAACCGUGUACGUACAAGCAGUGGGAGCACGCUUCGGCGUGUGACUGCGUACCUUUUGUAUAAUGGGUCAGCGACUUAUAUUCUGUAGCAAGGUUAACCGAAUAGGGGAGCCGAAGGGAAACCGAGUCUUAACUGGGCGUUAAGUUGCAGGGUAUAGACCCGAAACCCGGUGAUCUAGCCAUGGGCAGGUUGAAGGUUGGGUAACACUAACUGGAGGACCGAACCGACUAAUGUUGAAAAAUUAGCGGAUGACUUGUGGCUGGGGGUGAAAGGCCAAUCAAACCGGGAGAUAGCUGGUUCUCCCCGAAAGCUAUUUAGGUAGCGCCUCGUGAAUUCAUCUCCGGGGGUAGAGCACUGUUUCGGCAAGGGGGUCAUCCCGACUUACCAACCCGAUGCAAACUGCGAAUACCGGAGAAUGUUAUCACGGGAGACACACGGCGGGUGCUAACGUCCGUCGUGAAGAGGGAAACAACCCAGACCGCCAGCUAAGGUCCCAAAGUCAUGGUUAAGUGGGAAACGAUGUGGGAAGGCCCAGACAGCCAGGAUGUUGGCUUAGAAGCAGCCAUCAUUUAAAGAAAGCGUAAUAGCUCACUGGUCGAGUCGGCCUGCGCGGAAGAUGUAACGGGGCUAAACCAUGCACCGAAGCUGCGGCAGCGACACUAUGUGUUGUUGGGUAGGGGAGCGUUCUGUAAGCCUGUGAAGGUGUACUGUGAGGUAUGCUGGAGGUAUCAGAAGUGCGAAUGCUGACAUAAGUAACGAUAAAGCGGGUGAAAAGCCCGCUCGCCGGAAGACCAAGGGUUCCUGUCCAACGUUAAUCGGGGCAGGGUGAGUCGACCCCUAAGGCGAGGCCGAAAGGCGUAGUCGAUGGGAAACAGGUUAAUAUUCCUGUACUUGGUGUUACUGCGAAGGGGGGACGGAGAAGGCUAUGUUGGCCGGGCGACGGUUGUCCCGGUUUAAGCGUGUAGGCUGGUUUUCCAGGCAAAUCCGGAAAAUCAAGGCUGAGGCGUGAUGACGAGGCACUACGGUGCUGAAGCAACAAAUGCCCUGCUUCCAGGAAAAGCCUCUAAGCAUCAGGUAACAUCAAAUCGUACCCCAAACCGACACAGGUGGUCAGGUAGAGAAUACCAAGGCGCUUGAGAGAACUCGGGUGAAGGAACUAGGCAAAAUGGUGCCGUAACUUCGGGAGAAGGCACGCUGAUAUGUAGGUGAAGUCCCUCGCGGAUGGAGCUGAAAUCAGUCGAAGAUACCAGCUGGCUGCAACUGUUUAUUAAAAACACAGCACUGUGCAAACACGAAAGUGGACGUAUACGGUGUGACGCCUGCCCGGUGCCGGAAGGUUAAUUGAUGGGGUUAGCGGUAACGCGAAGCUCUUGAUCGAAGCCCCGGUAAACGGCGGCCGUAACUAUAACGGUCCUAAGGUAGCGAAAUUCCUUGUCGGGUAAGUUCCGACCUGCACGAAUGGCGUAAUGAUGGCCAGGCUGUCUCCACCCGAGACUCAGUGAAAUUGAACUCGCUGUGAAGAUGCAGUGUACCCGCGGCAAGACGGAAAGACCCCGUGAACCUUUACUAUAGCUUGACACUGAACAUUGAGCCUUGAUGUGUAGGAUAGGUGGGAGGCUUUGAAGUGUGGACGCCAGUCUGCAUGGAGCCGACCUUGAAAUACCACCCUUUAAUGUUUGAUGUUCUAACGUUGGCCCCUGAUCGGGGUUGCGGACAGUGUCUGGUGGGUAGUUUGACUGGGGCGGUCUCCUCCUAAAGAGUAACGGAGGAGCACGAAGGUUGGCUAAUCCUGGUCGGACAUCAGGAGGUUAGUGCAAUGGCAUAAGCCAGCUUGACUGCGAGCGUGACGGCGCGAGCAGGUGCGAAAGCAGGUCAUAGUGAUCCGGUGGUUCUGAAUGGAAGGGCCAUCGCUCAACGGAUAAAAGGUACUCCGGGGAUAACAGGCUGAUACCGCCCAAGAGUUCAUAUCGACGGCGGUGUUUGGCACCUCGAUGUCGGCUCAUCACAUCCUGGGGCUGAAGUAGGUCCCAAGGGUAUGGCUGUUCGCCAUUUAAAGUGGUACGCGAGCUGGGUUUAGAACGUCGUGAGACAGUUCGGUCCCUAUCUGCCGUGGGCGCUGGAGAACUGAGGGGGGCUGCUCCUAGUACGAGAGGACCGGAGUGGACGCAUCACUGGUGUUCGGGUUGUCAUGCCAAUGGCACUGCCCGGUAGCUAAAUGCGGAAGAGAUAAGUGCUGAAAGCAUCUAAGCACGAAACUUGCCCCGAGAUGAGUUCUCCCUGACCCUUUAAGGGUCCUGAAGGAACGUUGAAGACGACGACGUUGAUAGGCCGGGUGUGUAAGCGCAGCGAUGCGUUGAGCUAACCGGUACUAAUGAACCGUGAGGCUUAACCUU